rnacentral:rRNA from 1 species
CCCUUAGAUGUCCUGGGCCGCACGCGCGUUACACUGAUGCAUUCAACGAGCUUAUAACCUUGGCCGAGAGGCCUGGGCAAUCUUGUUAACGUGCAUCGUGAUAGGGAUAGAUUAUUGAAAUUAUUAAUCUUGAACGAGGAAUUCCUAGUAAACGCAGAUCAUCAAUCUGCAUUGAUUACGUCCCUGCCCUUUGUACACACCGCCCGUCGCUCCUACCGAUUGGGUGUGCUGGUGAAAUGUUCGGAUCGGCCGUUUGUCGCGGUUUCCGCGUCAUGUGGCUGAGAAGUUCAUUAAACCCUCCCACCUAGAGGAAGGAGAAGUCGUAACA